GAGACACCUUUAUGGAGCAAGCUUUGCUUCAGUGGGGCUUUGGUGCUCACUGAGUCUGCCCCCUGAGUGUGUCCCU
rnacentral:pre_miRNA from 1 species